UACGUAGGGUGCGAGCGUUAAUCGGAAUUACUGGGCGUAAAGGGCGCGUAGGCGGUUGUAUGUGAGUGAUGUGAAAUCCCCGGGCUUAACCUGGGAACUGCGUUUGAAACUACAAGGCUAGAGUGUGGCAGAGGGGGGUGGAAUUCCACGUGUAGCAGUGAAAUGCGUAGAGAUGUGGAGGAACACCGAUGGCGAAGGCAGCCCCCUGGGUUAACACUGACGCUCAGGCACGAAAGCGUGGGGAGCAAACAGG
rnacentral:rRNA from 1 species